GAUGAACGCUGGCGGCGUGCCUAAUACAUGCAAGUCGAGCGAACAGACGAGGAGCUUGCUCCUCUGACGUUAGCGGCGGACGGGUGAGUAACACGUGGAUAACCUACCUAUAAGACUGGGAUAACUUCGGGAAACCGGAGCUAAUACCGGAUAAUAUAAUGAACCGCAUGGUUCAAUAGUGAAAGACGGUUUUGCUGUCACUUAUAGAUGGAUCCGCGCCGCAUUAGCUAGUUGGUAAGGUAACGGCUUACCAAGGCAACGAUGCGUAGCCGACCUGAGAGGGUGAUCGGCCACACUGGAACUGAGACACGGUCCAGACUCCUACGGGAGGCAGCAGUAGGGAAUCUUCCGCGAUGGGCGAAAGCCUGACGGAGCAACGCCGCGUGAGUGAUGAAGGUCUUCGGAUCGUAAAACUCUGUUAUUAGGGAAGAACAAAUGUGUAAGUAACUAUGCACGUCUUGACGGUACCUAAUCAGAAAGCCACGGCUAACUACGUG
rnacentral:rRNA from 1 species